GGAGAGGUACCCAAGUGGUUGACGGGGCCUGACUCGAAAUCAGGUGUACGGGUAACCGUACCGUGGGUUCGAAUCCCACCCUCUCCGCCA
rnacentral:tRNA from 1 species